AUUGAACGCUGGCGGCAUGCCUUACACAUGCAAGUCGAACGGCAGCACGGGAGCAAUCCUGGUGGCGAGUGGCGAACGGGUGAGUAAUAUAUCGGAACGUGCCCAGUCGUGGGGGAUAACGCAGCGAAAGCUGUGCUAAUACCGCAUACGAUCUACGGAUGAAAGCGGGGGAUCGCAAGACCUCGCGCGAUUGGAGCGGCCGAUAUCAGAUUAGCUAGUUGGUGGGGUAAAGGCCCACCAAGGCGACGAUCUGUAGCUGGUCUGAGAGGACGACCAGCCACACUGGAACUGAGACACGGUCCAGACUCCUACGGGAGGCAGCAGUGGGGAAUUUUGGACAAUGGGCGCAAGCCUGAUCCAGCAAUGCCGCGUGCAGGAUGAAGGCCUUCGGGUUGUAAACUGCUUUUGUACGGAACGAAACGGCCCUUUCUAAUACAGGGGGCUAAUGACGGUACCGUAAGAAUAAGCACCGGCUAACUACGUGCCAGCCGCCGCAGUAACAC
rnacentral:rRNA from 1 species